UCGAGCUCUUUAAUUCGGUGCUUAGUUAUAGAGAACAAGCUAACAAAAGUUCAAUAUGAAGUUCGCUGUUUUAACACUUUUCUUUGCGGUAUUCUGUUAUUGUCAGGCUCAAGAUAUCGUAUUCCGGGAUGACUUUGAAGAUUCUAAAAUUCAGAAUAGACCAGGAGGGUCUGAUUCGGGUGACGAAGAGUUAGUUCUUUCAUUAAGACCGCUCUUUUCACCAGAAGAACUGGAGAGAAUAUAUAAAAUUCGGCAAAAUAAUUAUCCAAAAUAGGUAUAACUUAUAACUACAAAUACAUUUAUAACAAAUUGGUAAUUAUUCGUGAGAAUUUAAUUCCAAUUAACGUGCUCAUUUCAAUUUUCUGGCCAAAUAUAUGAAUAUAAGAUAGAUAAUUGAUUGAAAUGAUGAUGUCAAUCCGGUGGACUACGACCUAACAGAAGAAAUAUAAUUGAAUUUCAUUGGACGGCCAUAUCCACAAUAUUAAUCUAUAGAUUUUUCAAAGUGUUACUACUAUAUGCUUUCAAUCUUUGUAUGAGUAUAUA